rnacentral:rRNA from 1 species
CCUACGGGGGGCAGCAGUGGGGAAUAUUGGACAAUGGGGGCAACCCUGAUCCAGCCAUGCCGCGUGUGUGAAGAAGGCCCUCGGGUUGUAAAGCACUUUCAGGGAGGAAGAACGCCUGGUGGUUAAUACCCAUCAGGAAAGACAUCACUCACAUAAGAAGCACCGGCUAACUCCGUGCCAGCAGCCGCGGUAAUACGGAGGGUGCGAGCGUUAAUCGGAAUUACUGGGCGUAAAGCGCGCGUAGGUGGCUUGAUAAGCCGGUUGUGAAAGCCCCGGGCUCAACCUGGGAACGGCAUCCGGAACUGUCAAGCUAGAGUGCAGGAGAGGAAGGUAGAAUUCCCGGUGUAGCGGUGAAAUGCGUAGAGAUCGGGAGGAGUACCAGUUGCGAAGGCGGCCUUCUGGAGUGACACUGACACUGAGGUGCGAAAGCGUGGGUAGCAAACAGGCUUAGAUACCCUUGUAGUC